rnacentral:rRNA from 1 species
UAGGGAAUCUUCCACAAUGGGCGAAAGCCCGAUGGAGCAACGCCGCGUGUGUGAUGAAGGGUUUCGGCUCGUAAAACACUGUUGUAAGAGAAGAAUGACAUUGAGAGUAACUGUUCAAUGUGUGACGGUAUCUUACCAGAAAGGAACGGCUAAAUACGUGCCAC